UACGUAGGGGGCAAGCGUUGUCCGGAAUCAUUGGGCGUAAAGAGCUCGUAGGCGGCCUGUCGCGUCUGCUGUGAAAUCCCGGGGCUCAACCCCGGGCGUGCAGUGGAUACGGGCUGGCUGGAGGCAGGCAGGGGAGAACGGAAUUCCCGGUGUAGCGGUGAAAUGCGCAGAUAUCGGGAGGAACACCGGUGGCGAAGGCGGUUCUCUGGGCCUGUACUGACGCUGAGGAGCGAAAGCGUGGGGAGCGAACAGG
rnacentral:rRNA from 1 species